UACGGGGGGGGCAAGCGUUGUUCGGAAUUACUGGGCGUAAAGGGCUCGUAGGUGGUCAACUAAGUCGGACGUGAAAUCCCUCGGCUUAACCGGGGAACUGCGUCCGAUACUGGAUGACUUGAGUUCGGGAGAGGGAUGCGGAAUUCCAGGUGUAGCGGUGGAAUGCGUAGAUAUCUGGAGGAACACCGGUGGCGAAGGCGGCAUCCUGGCCGAGGUCUGACGCUGAAGCGCGACAGCGGUGGG
rnacentral:rRNA from 1 species